CCUACGGGCGGCAGCAGUGGGGGAUAUUGCACAAUGGGGGAAACCCUGAUGCAGCGACGCCGCGUGUGGGAAGACGGUCCUCUGGAUUGUAAACCACUGUCCCCAGGGACGAAGAUGACGGUACCUGGGGAGGAAGCUCCGGCUAACUACGUGCCAGCAGCCGCGGUAAUACGUAGGGAGCGAGCGUUGUCCGGAAUUACUGGGUGAAAAGGGAGCGUAGGCGGGACUGCAAGUUGGGUGUCAAAUCUACCGGCUCAACCGGUAGCCGCACUCAAAACUGCAGUUCUUGAGUGAAGUAGAGGCAGGCGGAAUUCCUAGUGUAGUGGUGAAAUGCGUAGAUAUUAGGAGGAACACCAGUGGCGAAGGCGGCCUGCUGGGCUUUUACUGACGCUGAGGCUCGAAAGUGUGGGGAGCAAACAGGAUUAGAUACCCCAGUAGUC
rnacentral:rRNA from 1 species